CAGUCGCCGCGGGAAUACAGAGGGUGCAAGCGUUAAUCGGAAUUACUGGGCGUAAAGCGCGCGUAGGUGGUUCGUUAAGUUGGAUGUGAAAUCCCCGGGCUCAACCUGGGAACUGCAUCCAAAACUGGCGAGCUAGAGUAGGGCAGAGGGUGGUGGAAUUUCCUGUGUAGCGGUGAAAUGCGUAGAUAUAGGAAGGAACACCAGUGGCGAAGGCGACCACCUGGGCUCAUACUGACACUGAGGUGCGAAAGCGUGGGGAGCAAACAGGAUUAGAUACCCCUGUAGUCCCUGUCUCUUAUAU
rnacentral:rRNA from 1 species